CCUACGGGGAGCUGCAGUGAGGAAUAUUGGUCAAUGGGCGGAAGCCUGAACCAGCCAAGUAGCGUGCGGGAUGAAGGCCCUACGGGUCGUAAACCGCUUUUGCACGGGGAUAACACCCUCCACUUGUGGAGGUCUGCAGGUACCGUGCGAAUAAGGGCAGGCUAAUUCCGUGCCAGCAGCCGCGGUAAUACGGAGGGCCCGGGCGUUAUCCGGAUUCAUUGGGCUUAAAGGGAGCGUAGGCGGGCGUUCAAGUCAGCUGUAAAAUCGCGCGGCUCAACCGCGCCCCGCAGUUGAAACUGGAGGCCUUGAGUGCACAACAGGCAGGCGGAAUUCGUGGUGUAGCGGUGAAAUGCAUAGAUAUCACGAGGAACCCCGAUUGCGAAGGCAGCCUGCCGGGGUGCGACUGACGCUGAGGCUCGAAGGUGCGGGUAUCAAACAGGAUUAGAUACCCGAGUAGUC
rnacentral:rRNA from 1 species